UUCAAACAUUGUUUUACAUUUUUAAUAGGAUACUGCCUAUGGGCUUCAUAUGAUCAUUCCAUUUAUAGUUUGACGAUGGCCACAGGCCUACUAUCCACUUAAUAAUGUAUCAAGUUUCAGCUGAUUAUCAAAUAAUUCACUCCAUCUAUUCGUGUUUUAAUCAAUGGGCGCACGCGCUGAACAUUCGAGCCGCAUUUGAACUGGAGCGGACAGCGUUACCAUGGAAACCGGUCGGUAGCUCAACUGACAACAAGCAGCACAGCUCCACCUCUCGCUGUUGUUUUCACUACUUUCAGUGUUGUUAGCUCUAACCCCAAUUAAUCAGACCUGAGCAGCUGACUAAACAUCACCAGAAACUCUGCAGAGCCCUGGUCUGGUCUGGAUGCCACUGUUGCUAAAGUAUUUAAAGUAAAAACUUCAGUCGUGGCUUAAUAAUCCGGGGUUGGGAUGGUGGAAGGAGCAGAAGAACCAGAAGAUCGGAGAUCAGGAAGACAUCUAUUGGUGCCCCUGAGGGAACUGAUUUAAUGUGUAAAAUUUAACCAAAAAUGUUCGUCAUUCACCUUCAUGUCGUUGCAAACCUGUAAGACUUUCGUUCAUCUUUGAAAGAUAUUUUUAGUGAAAUCUGAGAGCUUUCUGUCCCUCAAUUUCACAGUUUAUGCAACUACCACUUUCAUGCUUCAGAAAGGUAAGACAUUAUAAAAAUAAUCAAUAGAGGGUUUGCACCUACGUCAUGAUUUGGCCAGUUACCCGGAUGCGCGGCUAUAUUGGAGAUACUCGGAGGUAAACAACAGCAUUGAUUGCACUGUUUAUGUACUACUGAACACAUUGUUACACUAAUUUAUG